rnacentral:misc_RNA from 2 species
CUGCCCUCAAGCACGGCUUGUGUGUUGGGCCCCCGCCCCCCGGCUCCCGGGGGGCGGGCCCGAAAGGCAGCGGCGGCACCGCGUCCGGUCCUCGAGCGUAUGGGGCUUCGUCACCCGCUCUGUAGGCCCGGCCGGCGCCCGCCGGCGACCCCCCUCAAUCUUUCUCA